GAUGAAGAACGUAGCGAAAUGCGAUACUUGGUGUGAAUUGCAGAAUCCCGUGAACCAUCGAGUCUUUGAACGCAAGUUGCGCCCGAAGCCAUUAGGCCGAGGGCACGCCUGCCUGGGCGUCACACGUCGUUGCCCCCCCCCCCCAUCUACUCCUUCGGGAUUGCGGGGGGCGGAUGAUGGCCUCCCGUGCGCCUCGCCGCGCGGUUGGCAUAAAUGCCAAGUCCUCGGCGACGCACGCCACGACAAUCGGUGGUUGCGAAACCUCGGUUGCCCGUCGUGUGCGGUCGUCGCGCAUCGAGGGCUCGAAAAAAUUGCCGAGUUCCGGCUCGGCUUUCAACGCGACCCCAGGUCAGGCGGGGUUACCCGCUGAAUUUAAGCAUAUCAAUAAGCGGAGGA
rnacentral:misc_RNA from 1 species